UCUGUUAAUCCCAAACACCUAAAAUAUCCCCCCCACCGUAUUGGUAACCAUGAGUUUAUUUUCUGUCUGUGAACCUGUUUCUAUUUUGUAAAUAAAUUCGUUUGUAUCGUAGCUUAGAUCCCAUAAGAUGUUUGUCUUUCUCUGACCUCACUUAGUAUGAUAAUUUUUAGGUCCAUCCAUGUUGCUGCAAGGGGCAUGAUUUCAUUCUUUUUUUAUGGCUGAGUAAUAUUCCAUUGUAUGUCUGUGUUUUCUCUCUAUAACAUCAUCUUCAUCCACUCCUCUGCUGAUGGGUGUUUAGGUUGCUUCCAUGGCUUGGCUAUUGUAUUCAGGGCUGCUGUGCAUGUGGGAGCAUGUGUAUCUUUUGGAAUUACUAUUUUUCGUCUUUUCCAGAUACAUGCUCAGGAAUGCGAUUGCUAGCUGAGAGUGAUUUACAGUGUUCUAUCAGCUACAGGUGUACAAUAUUGCGAUACAGUGUUUUUAUAAAUUAUGCCCCAUUUAAGGUUAUUGUAAAAUCUCCAAAGUUCCCUGGCGAUGCACUGGGUUAAGGAUGUGGUGCUGUCAUUGCAGUGGCUCAGGUUGCUGCCAUGGUGCAGGUUCGACCCCUGGCAUGGGAACUUCCACAUGCUAUGGGUGCACCAAAAACCAAUAACUAAAAAUCUCUAAGUUACUUUCCAACAGCAUGAAGUGACUCCUGACCCUGGCCGUGGUAGAAGCAGCCGGUGGUAGCCUUGUUCUUUAACAGGUUACAGCCGGAAAUGCUGGGUGAGACAAGGAAUGCGGUGGUCUGAGACCUCUGCAUCAGGUGGACAGUCAGGACUUAAAGCAAUGACACCACCAGGUUGAAGAGAGUCUCCCCCCAAAUCUGUGUCCCUGGAAUCUCAGAAGGUGACCUGUCUUUGUGAAUGUCACAGUCCUGCAUAGAAUCCGUUGUCCAGGAGCUUUCACCUGUUCCCAGCCGUCUCUACCGCUCACAUCUCUAAGCCCUAAUUACUUUCCGCCAGUCACGAGGUCAUUGGACACACCAGUCAAGACAAAACACUGGUUACAUGUUGGCUUUUCCAUCAAAGAAGCCCCCCUGCAUAUGCCUUAGACAAGUCUUAGCAUUUGAAGGCACAGGAGAUUUUCAUUGACUCAGACUCCAUGACCCAAGGGUGUCUGAAGCCCAAUCCUGGCAUCUCAACCUGGAAUGAUGAGACCAGACAGGUCAGAUGCAAGAUGCAGCAGGGAAAACGGCUGCCCUGGAAUUUGCCCUGGAGGAGCGGGCGUGCCAGGCGCAGUCGUGGCCCCAAGCUCAUGAUUUGGGGAUGAUGGCUCUUGACCUUUCGGGGUGGCAGGUUUGGUUUGGUCAGAGUGCUUUCUGCCAAACACGGCACCGUGUGCUGCUUGUAGCAGGCAGAGCGUCUUCAUCGGUGGUGGUGGCAAGAUAUUGAUCCCGGGCAGGAGUCCCCCCGGGGUUUUACGUGUCGCCCAGGAAGGCGAUGAAUCUCCUUUAUGAACACAACAUAAAGUAAUCAAUGCGUUUGGCAGAUUCAUUAGGACGUUAAAAAGGCUUGGAGAAGAGAUGGAAUGCCUCAAGAAUCCAUUUAAAAGGAAGAGUAAUAGGGUUGUUAUAUCCAUGCCAGAAUAUUUUACCAAGAACGGCCAGCAUUGCAAUAUACAUCACGUUCUGCUUAUAGCAAUAAAAAUCAGCUCACAGGGAGCAGGUGUGGAAAAAGACAAACUCAUGAACGUUUGUGAAUGGAAGAAACAGCCCAAGGAGCUUUAAGAUCUUGGGAUGAAUUAUCUUAAAUCUUCCAGAGCUUUCUACUCAGACCAAGGGGUUUUUUCUAAAGGGACAACCUGGUACCUGUUCAAGACAGAAGCCCACAUCUCCAGGACGACCCCAGAACCAUGAAUCUUCUGUCUGCGGAACCUAAAGAACAGAAAAGUUGCCAGUGCCGCCCUUGAUGAGGCAGGAACUCUUUCAAUGGGAAGCAUCUGGCUUCAGCCACAGGGGUAGCAUCUAUGGCCUGACUCAAGACUAGCCAGUCAGCUUCCCCAACUCCUUGAACUCCACCCAGCCUCUGGAUGGAGGAGACAGGUUGGAGAGCCUUGCUUCUGGGCUCCUUGCUGGUUGACCGCACGGCAACGCUCUUCCUCUUACUAAAGUUGGUGCCGUGGGUUGGCUUCUGUGCGUGUCCGACGGGGAGCCUCUUCUCGGUGACAAAUCUGACCGUUUCUCAUGUGCCCAGUCGCCUGAGCAUCGGGCGUCUCAGCCAGUACGCACUCUACACGCCCCACUGGCCGCUCAGGAGGUCUGAGAUGUGUGUCCCGAGGGAUGACGGAACGCUGGUGCUAUUUUUCAUCAGGCUGUUGUGCAGGAUCCUUCCUCGUCCACUGGAUGCAAAGCACCUGCCUGGAUUGGGUGUAAAGGAUCCUGAGAGCGACAGCUUGUGACAUCCUCCUGAGUGAUGCUGAGGUGAUGCAGUCCCGUCAUCUUCAGCCUGCAAAGCCAUCUUGCCCAAGAAGCCUCAUUCCCGGGGCAUCCGGCCAUACGAGAAAGGCUGCCGGGGCUUGUCAAGAGGCUACGGAGCCGCGGACAUCGCGGGAGAGGCUAAAGACGUUACAGACGAAGCACCUACCUUCCUGAAGCCUGUGACUCCCGACGGCGUCCCUGGAGGACGUCCCGGCGUGAAGGCUGGACGCUGUCCUGUACGGUGAAUCAGAUGACUCCUCUGCUCGACCCAGUCCAUCUCCAAGGGGGAGCAUGAACAUCAGACAUCAUCACCACAGAUCUCCAAUACCGUUUGAGUUAAAUGGAUGCUAUGGGGCCUCCCGCGUAGGAGGGUAUGGAGAGAGACGGGAGCUGCUCAAAUGGACACUCACCUUCCUCCUCCUCUCCGUCCCCAGGGGCUCCAUCCACACGGCCUUUCCUGCUUCUCGAGGCUCCGUCCUGAGACCUGCCUGGGCACAUCCACACUUGCGGAGCCAGAGGCAGCCUCAGGGUCUGAACGCUGGCACCUGUCUGUGGAGCAGUCGGGAUUCCUCGGGGAAAAGAGAAACAGGUUCCGAUUAUUUUAGGUACCGAUGUCCCUGCAGCCUGGGGUCCAGGUAACGGUCUCGGUAACUACCCGCUUCCCCAUCUGCUGCUGAGACAUCUGUCCCCCCCGAGAACCCCAGCCCAGGGCUAAGGAGACCUUACAUCCUCGGGGACAGCCCCCUGCUGACCCUUCACUCUGGGUCCAGAAACAGUCCUGACGAAUCCGCCCGUCACGUAGCCCCGGGGUGUUGGCGAUUCUGUUCCAGUCUCUUCCUGUUCUAGAAUUUAUGAAUCCACCAUCGCUCAGUUAGCUGGACCCCCAGAGCCAGAAUAACCACACUGGUUGUUUUUUUUUUGUUCCCCCUCUGGGGUCAUCCCCCGCCUGUGUUCUGGGAUCAAAGCUUUUUUUUCUUUUUAGGGCCGUGACUGCAGCAUGUGGAAGUUCCCAGACUAUAGGGGUUGAAUCGGAGCUGCAGCUGCCAGUCUACACCGCAGCCAUGUGGGAUCCAAGCCACUUCUGUGACCUACACCACAGCUCACGACAGAGGCCAGAUCCUUAACCCAGGGAGUCCCCAUACCUCUCAUGAGAAGAUCUGAGCAGUUCCCUGAGGCCGACGGAAAGGGGAACUGCCUGGGCGGACACCGGUCUCGCUGAGAAACCGAUGGUUGGUUCCGACGUGGCAGCGGCUUUGAGAGUUUUUAGAGAUUCCCUGAGAGAAAUCACUCUCUUCCAUCAAAUGACCGCAGUGCUCACAGCGCUAAGACUCCCCGCGAAGCCACCUGCUCUGCUCCUGGGACGUCAGGUCAUAGGAGCUGGAAGGACCUCGCCGUCUCGGUGACAGUGACUACAAUUGGGAUUAACUUUCGGAGCAGAUGCUCGAUGGCUGGCUGCUUCCCACCUCUGUCACUGACGACUUUCCAGGCAACCUCCCACCCUGGGUGCACAUGCCCACUGCCCGGCACAGAUGCACACAUGCAGACACAGACUUGUACAGAGAUGACACAUACACACCUGUACACACACACUCACAUAGACACACUUGUAGACACAUGCAUACACAAAACAUACAACAUGGGCAGACGUGCACAGACAUGCAGAAAUAGAUACACACACGCACAAAGACUCACAUAACACACAAGACCACACCCUCACACGGACACCCCUGUGCACACAGUGAGUUCUCUAAGAAUCCAAAAACCACUCUCCUGCCUUCUCUUUAACCAAGUUCAAAAACUACAGAUUUAUGGCCUUUCAUUUUUCUGAAUUGAAAAUACAACCAACAGUUCCCAGGUUCAGAUGCAUGUUUCUAGGCGUCUCAGCACUGUUGGAUGUAUGUAUAUUACAUAUGCUCGGCUGUCCCCACUUACACACGGACAUUCUAGAGGCGCUUGGGGUAGAUGAAUACAUGUAUACACACACACACACUGGGGUAGAUGGACGACCAGAUCAAUAGAUACCAGUUGCUAUAACUCACAGUAUGAGUCCGCUCAGCUGCCAAAAGCAGAUAC